rnacentral:rRNA from 1 species
UACCAGCACCCCGAGUGGGCGGGACGAUUAUUGGGCCUAAAGCAUCCGUAGCCGGUCCUGCAAGUCUUCCGUUAAAUCCAGCUGCUCAACAGAUGGGCUGCGGGAGAUACUACAGGGCUAGGAGGCGGGAGAGGCAAGCGGUACUUUAUGGGUAGGGGUAAAAUCCGCUGAUCCAUAGAAGACCACCAGUGGCGAAGGCGGCUUGCCAGAACGCGCUCGACGGUGAGGGAUGAAAGCUGGGGGAGCAAACCGG